GUGGGGAAUAUUCCGCAAUGGACGAAAGUCUGACGGAGCAACGCCGCGUGAGUGAUGAAGGUUUUCGGACUGUAAAGCUCUGUUGUUUAGGACGAAAGUGCCUGUUGCGAACAGUUACAGGUAUUGACGGUACUAAACGAGGAAGCCACGGCUAACUACGUGCCAGCAGCCGCGGUAAUACGUAGGUGGCAAGCGUUGUCCGGAAUUAUUGGGCGUAAAGAGCAUGGAGGCGGAGAUUUAAGUCUGUUGUGAAAAUGCGGGACUCAACCCCGUAUUGCGAUGGAAACUGAAUUUCUUGAGUGCAGGAGAGGAAAGGGGAAUUCCCAGUGUAGCGGUGAAAUGCGUAGAUAUUGGGAGGAACACCAGUGGCGAAGGCGCCUUUCUGGACUGUACCUGACGCUGAGGCGCGAAAGCGUGGGUAGCAAACGGGAUUAGAUACCCCGGUAGUCC
rnacentral:rRNA from 1 species